GCCAUCUGCAGUGCCUGGAGGUGGGGUGGGGAGAAGUGAAGAAUCUCUUCCUUUUUAAUAGAUUUUCAAGAUGGGAAAAUCAUAUUGCAACCCACAGGCAUUUGGAAACAAUUUGUGCCGAAGACAGAAAGUACACCUAACGUUAAGCUGAAAAAACUGGACGCUCCCAGCAAACUCACUUUGCAGACUCCUGGUUGUCAGAAGAAAACGCCAGAGGAUUUCACUUGGCAUUGACCUCUUACUACUUCCAGCCACUUACCCUGGGCAGUAGAAAGAAGGAACAGAAAGCAGAGUAGAUUAAGAGGAGCAAGUACAAAUGGCGUGGGACUUCAAAUCACCACCUAAGAUUACUUCUUUGAUUUCUGAAAAAGUAGGUCAAAGGAAGAUGUCAGUGCUGGAGCAGAGGUACUGAAUGAGGAAGUGGAGUCUUGGGAUACCUUUGGAGGGAUCCAGUUAAUGGACUGGCUGCCAUAAUUGGUCUGAGACACUGGUGCAAGCAUGAGAAUGGGAAUCUACAGGUCUCUAUCCCUGGUGAGCCCGGAGGUUGAGUUUUCACAAGGGCAGCAAGAAGAAUCCCUUCUCCUCUUCCUGUCCACCUUCUGAAGAGGAGGAGACAGAGCCGGGUUGCAGAUCCUCACCAAAGUGGAUGCUGUUCCCAGAGGAAGGAAGGCCCCCCCGGGGCAAGGUUGCCAACAUGACCCCACAGAGACCAGGAACAAACGUUCUUGCCUUUGGACUUCACUUCUUCACAGAGCCAGAGUUACAGGCCAACCUGAAGAUGGUAUCAUGACUCACACACACUUAUUUCUCAGCCUCAGCCAGGCUCAAGAGCAAGACUGCUGAAGGAGGAAGGGCCCUUCAUGGCCUCCUCUGCCUCGUGACUGCUUUACCUGCCACUGAUGAGGCUUCCCUGGGAUGAGAUGGAGACGAGGGCACUGAAUGACUUUGAGUUAGGGGGACUCAAGAGGGUGAGGGCACCAUGAUCAUUACCCCUUCAGUCUCCUGUCUCCCUCUUGGCAUCUCUGCAACACAGAAGGCUGGCAAUGGUGAGAUAUUAUAUUGUCAAUUAUUCAAACUUUAGAAUUUUCUGAUGCCUCAACAUCCCUGCAAAUGGGCUGUGAGCACCUUGCCCAGGUGACCAGGUGCACCAGUGUGCUAAGGCUGGUCCGGGCCACAGGUUCCCCACUUUGUGCUCCCCUGACUGGGACCUAGUGACAUCAACACCACCAGUGCAAUCCCCUCACACCUUUUGCUUGUGGAUUCCCCUCUGAAGUCCAAUAAAGGCGCUUGUCUGAG
ensembl:lncRNA novel transcript